rnacentral:rRNA from 1 species
UGGGGAAUAUUGCACAAUGGACGGAAGUCUGAUGCAGCAACGCCGCGUGCGGGAUGACGGCCUUCGGGUUGUAAACCGCUUUUUCUCAUGACGAAGUUUUUUGACGGUAGUGGGGGAAGAAGCACCGGCUAACUACGUGCCAGCAGCCGCGGUGAUACGUAGGGUGCGAGCGUUGUCCGGAAUUAUUGGGCGUAAAGAGCUUGUAGGCGGUUUGUCGCGUCGAUAGUGCAAACUCAGUGCUUAACGCUGAGCCUGCUGUUGAUACGGGCAGACUAGAGGAAGGUAGGGGAGAAUGGAAUUCCCGGUGGAGCGGUGGACUGCGCAGAUAUCGGGAGGAACACCGGUGGCGAAGGCGGUUCUCUGGGCCUUUCCUGACGCUGAGAAGCGAAAGCGUGGGGAGCGAACAGG